rnacentral:lncRNA from 7 species
AGCAAAAUCACCCAUUUUCUCUUCAAAAUCCCACAUUUAAGUGAAAAUCACCCCUUUUCUCUUCAAAAAUCCCCCAUUUAAGUGAAAAUCACCCAUUUUCUCUUCGAAAACUUCCCAUUUAACCCCAAAAUCACCCAUUUUCUCCUCGAAAAUCCCCCAUUUAAGGGUAAAUCAUGCAUUUUCUCUUCGAAAAUCCACAUUUAGCUAAAAAAUCACGCAUUUAAGCGAAAAUCACCCGUUUUCUCUUCAAAAAUCUCCCAUUUAACCCCAAAAUCACCCAUUUUCUCUUCAAAAUUCCCCAUUUAAUCCGAAAAUCACCCAUUUUCCCUUCAAAAUCCCCAAUUAUUUGGAAAAUCACGCAUUUUCUCCUUCAAAAACCCCCCAUUUAAGGGAAAAUCAUGCAUUUUUCUCCCUUCAAAAAUCCCACCAUUUAAGCAAAAACACCCAUUUUCAUCUUCGAAAAUCCCAUUUAAGCAUGAAAAUCACCAUUUUCUCUUCGAAAAAUCCCCCAUUUACCCCAAAAUCACGCAUUUUCUCCUCGAAAAUCCCCCAUUUAAGGGUAAAUCACGCAUUUUCUCUUCGAAAAUCCAACAUUUAGCUAAAAAAUCACGCAUUUAAGCGGAAAUCACCCGUUUUCUCUUCGAAAAUGCCCCAUUUAACCCAAAAAUCACCAUUUUCUCUUCAAAAUUCUCCCAUUAAUCCGAAAAUCACCCAUUUUCCCUUCAAAAAUCCCCAAUUAUUUGGAAAAUCACGCAUUUUCUCCUCAAAAACCCCCCAUUUAAGCGAAAAUCACCCAUUUUCCCUUCAAAAAUCCCCAAUUUUUUGGAAAAUCACGCAUUUUCUCCUCAAAAACCCCCCAUUUAAGGGAAAAUCACCAUUUUCCCUUCAAAAAUCCAGAUUUAACAAAAUCACCCGUUUUCCGCAAAAAUCCCCAUUUAAGCAAAAAUCACCCAUUUUCUCUUCAAAAAUCCC